CCCGGGUCUUGUACACACCGCCCGUCACACCAUGGGAGUGGGUUUUACCAGAAGUGGCUAGUCUAACCUUCGGGAGGACGGUCACCACGGUAGGAUUCAUGACUGGGGUG
rnacentral:rRNA from 1 species